CUUCUUAUUUCCUUUUUUUUACUUCAGAGAUUGAAGAAGACUCGGUGUUCUUUUCUCCUCCAUAGCCAAGGUCCAGAUCGAUGGCCACGGUCCAGAUCGGGUGAUGUAAUUGUUUCCAUCAAUACUCUUCUCUGGGUUAUCGGGUUAAGUUUGAAAUCCGAGUAUGGUGCCAUGGUGGUUGAAGUCUGAUGAGCACGAUCUCCGCCGCCGCCGCAAGGACUAGAUCGAUGGGAUAGUUUCUUUGCUAGUUUUUGCUGGGAUGGUGAAUUACGAUUGGACUGGAUUGGCUUCAUACCCAAUUGACACAGUGCGCAGAAGGAUGAUGACGAUAUGCUAUAAUUUCAAGGAUGCAAAGUAGUGAACUGGAUGGUGGUGCUGAUCAAACAAUAUUAAUUACUG